CCCUUAUAAUAGCGAACCAAACAGCCCCUUAGAAGCGAGGCUGCAAAAUUUGUGGACAUGUCAGACCACCUUAAUGAAAUACAAGAAGAUGCUAGAAUUGCAAUUCUGAACUGUUUCCUGGAUUUCGCAGGUUCUCUUGAACGGAUUGGUGGAGAACUCUCAGAAAGUAGAUCAAAUAUUGAAAGUCAUUUACAAAAUGGCUAUAUGAAUGGAUUCGAAAGUGAAUUGCCUAGUGUGCAUUCUGGUGGUGCUGUAGGUGAUUCCCAUAAAAAGGCUUAGCGUAUUCAUAAUGUUUGCAUUCUGUAAUGUUCAUCAGUUUUCCACAAUGUUUAAACUUUUAACCCACUACUUGCACAUAUUUAAGUUGUAGUAUUUAUUGAUCUUGUGUUUAUUUCAUUAAGGUGGUCUGACAUGCUCA